CCUACGGGAGGCAGCAGUAGGGAAUCUUCCACAAUGGGCGAAAGCCUGAUGGAGCAACGCCGCGUGGGUGAAGAAGGUCUUCGGAUCGUAAAACCCUGUUGGUAGAGAAGAAAGUGCGUGAGAGUAACUGUUCACGAUUCGACGGUAUCUAACCAGAAAGCCACGGCUAACUACGUGCCAGCAGCCGCGGUAAUACGUAGGUGGCAAGCGUUAUCCGGAUUUAUUGGGCGUAAAGGGAACGCAGGCGGUCUUUUAAGUCUGAUGUGAAAGCCUUCGGCUUAACCGGAGUAGUGCAUCAGAAACUGGGUGACUUGAGUGCAGAAGAGGAGAGUGGAACUCCAUGUGUAGCGGUGAAAUGCGUAGAUAUAUGGAAGAACACCAGUGGCGAAAGCGGCUCUCUGGUCUGUAACUGACGCUGAGGUUCGAAAGCGUGGGUAGCAAACAGGAUUAGAUACCCCAGUAGUC
rnacentral:rRNA from 1 species